AAUGGUUUUACCUCCUUAGA
rnacentral:tRNA from 1 species